rnacentral:rRNA from 1 species
CUACGAAAGGUGCAAGCGUUGUUCGGAUUUACUGGGCGUAAAGAGAGUGUAGGUGGUUUAUUAAGUCGGAUGUGAAAUCCCGGGGCUCAACCUCGGAACUGCAUUCGAUACUGAUAGGCUAGAGUUUGGGAGGGGUAAGCGGAAUUCCGUGUGUAGCAGUGAAAUGCGUAGAUAUACGGAGGAACACCUGAGGCGAAGGCGGCUUACUGGACCAAUACUGACACUGAGACUCGAAAGCGUGGGUAGCAAACAGGAUUAGAUACCCUUGUAGUCC